GAAUGGGUUCUCCUAAGCACAUUCUCUUUCCAUCUGCAUGUGCUUUUUACUAUGUUGAGUUUUAAAUGUUGAACAUAUGUAGGGUUAGCGACUUAGCGUUUAUUUAGAGUGCAGAUUAGUAUACAUGGAAAUAGCAAUAAUUGAAUUGGAAUCAUGUAUUGAUGACAAAAAAAUGAAAGCUAUCAUGUCACCGGGUUCAAAUUCCUUCUCUUGCUAUCCACUGGCAGAAUGUUGCAAUUAUCAUAAACACCGCCCAGUGCCCAUGAAUCAAACCUUUCUUACUGUAAUUGUUGCCUUUUAUUAUAGUCACGUGUCCUAAAACUUUAGUUUUCCCAUUUUGUUUUAGAACAUAGCUGCAGGUAAUUAUUCCGGUAAAUCCUUAUGAUGCAGAUUGAUACCAACUCUCAAUCUUUCUUGAUCUUUACAGGUGGUCUAGACACUGAGGAAUUGGACAUUAUGACAUCGGCGUCAGGGCACCACUUCCUUUGUCUGGGUGUGCAUCUUUUCCUGUGUUGUGGCCCAUGGCGUUGCUAAGUUUUGCAAUGCUCAUGCCUGUUUUUUGCAGUGUGGGGUUGCUCCUAGGAGAACCCCAUCACCAGCUCACUCUUCUCCACGAAUCAUUAGACGGCAUCAGUGUGGAGUCAUCACGUGCCUAGGGUUACCGCUCCCCGCGUUCCUGACCCUGCAGCAUGUCCGGGAUGGCAUCUGGUGCCAGGGCGACGCUGCCAUCUCGCCGUCGGUGGCGCUACCGGACAUGCCAGCCGCUAACCACCUCAUGGUUUUGCAGUACGGCAGAAGACCGUAGUAGACAGACAACAGACCACCAACCAACCAUCACCCCCACCUGCGAUGACAGAAAUGUAGAUCCUGGCAUUCUGCCCCUCCUAACCCUUUUGUCGGCGUGGCUGUUGCCGGGCCGGCAAUAGGCGGCAUGACGAACAACGAUGAGCUCCCGACCGCCUGCGCUGGCUUCCCUGUGCGCCGCCGAUGAUCUGCUGAAGAACCACUGGAGAGGUGCAAAGUUUUUUUUCCUGUCGUUGACCGUCGGCGUGGCAGCUCAUCUGCACACUGGAGGCCUUUUCUCUCCACACAAGUGCUGGAGAGAAUGUAACAGCUUGGAAGUUGCGCCUGACAGAGAGUCUGACGAGGCUGUGACGGCAAGAAGGGAAUUCAGCCCACUGAAGAGUAGUGACUUCCAAGCCAUUUCGGCCUUGUUCACUUCACCUGAUCUACUAAUCUCCAGAGUUCAGCCGUUACAUGUUGUUAAUUGUUAGCCCCUGUUGCUCGCUUCUGUUUUUUGUUGUGGAAGCAGCACAUCUUGAAAUGCUCCCGUUGCUAAAGGACCCGUCUUUCAGAGGGAAAACUUGACAUCUCACUGAGAAUUCAUUGAUUCAUGAUUUGACUCCCUAGA